UACGUAGGGAGCGAGCGUUACUCGGAAUCACUGGGCAUAAAGGGCGUGUAGGCGGGUGUAUAAGUCCGGUGUGAAAUCCCUCGGCUCAACCGGGGAACGGCAUCGGAUACUGUACGUCUAGAGUGCGGGAGAGGAGAGUGGAACUCUUGGUGGAGCGGUGAAAUGCGUAGAUAUCAAGAGGAACGCCGGUGGCGAAAGCGGCUCUCUGGUCCGUUACUGACGCUGAGGCGCGAAAGCUAGGGGAG
rnacentral:rRNA from 1 species